ACGAUUUUAUAACCCUAAAAUGUCUCAAAAAUUAAUAAAAAACACAAGUAAUAUUGAAAACAUAUUUUUAAAAUAAUUAUUUUAAUAGUGAAAUUUUGGUUUUGAAAUGUUAGCUUUGAUAUAAUUUUCCGAUAGUAUAUACACACUUUUGUUAAUGUUCACUUACAACAUUAUUUUGGGAUUAGAAAAAUCAAACAAAGCAUAUGUAUCGGAAGUAUUUGUGGUAUAUUUUUGUCUAGAUGCAGUUCUGUUUCUAUAGGUCGACCACAUCGAUCCUUAAAAAAAAAAUAUGGGUGGACGGCAACAAUCAUUCAAAAAAAAGUAUUUUUGCUAAAAAAAUUUUAAAAAGGAAAAAUUAUUAAUUGUGAUAAAACUUAUAUAUAUCUAUAGAAUAAUGAAUAAAUUGAUAUAUGUUAAUCGGUUGUGAUGAAUUUCGAUUAUAUUUGAUAUGACAUGUAUAUUAAUAGAUAUGUUAGUUAAUAUAGAUAUGUUAAUAUAGAUAUAGUGGUGCAUCUAGUUGUAAUUUUAGGCUCUAUAAUGGAUGUACUUUAUGAGUAUAAUUAUUUUUAGAUUUAAAUAUGUAUUUGGUUUAUGUAAAUAUAAUAUUUUUUAAUUUUAGUCUUGUAAGUUUUUUUGUUUGGAUUUAGUCCAUAUAAAAUGAGGUCAACUUUGGUCCGUAACGUCAGAUCAACAUUAAACGAAAGACGAGUUUUCUAAGACACUUUAAACCCCUCUUUUAAUUUCUAUUCAUAUUUUUUUAAUAAAAUAAAACUAAUUAUUAAAUAAUAAAUAAAUAAAUAUAUUAAUUAAUAAUUUAAAAUAUUUUAAUUUUUUAAUAUAUCAUAUAAUAUGAUGUGUUGGUGUGUAGUUAUAGAGCCUCGUGUUAUGGUGACUUGUUAGCUCUUUUUUUUGUAACUUUAAUUUGAUGUUAGGGACCAAAAUCGAUAGUCUAUAAUUUUACGGGAAUUAAAUUCAAACAAAAAAUUUACAGAGACUAAAAUAAAAAAGUGGUAUAUUUGUAGAGGCCAAAGAUAUAUUUAAACCUUAUUUUUUUUAGUACAAAUUUAGUUGUUGUGUUAUCGUUGUCGAAAUGUAUUUUUUAAGUCUAAUAUAUUUCUUGUUACAUGAAUUAACUUUAUCAAAUGACAUAUAUCAUGUAGAUUGAUAUGUGUAGAGUGUAUCAUGUAUAUUGAUAUGUACGUUAGAAACUAAAAUUUAUUUUAUUUAUUAAAAAUUAUAUAUUAUUUUAUUAAGACUUAAUUUUUAAGAUUAAAUAAAGUAUCUAAAAUAGUUAAGAUGACCCUGAAUAUAGGUUAUUUGAUAUUGUUUUGAAAUUUUAGCGAAAUGUAAUAUUGGUUAACGUAGUCAUUUUAACCGUUAAAAUUUGAAAAUACAUUUUGAAAAUAGUAAAACAUGAUUCAAAGUGGUUCCUUCGUUAAUUUGUCACUAACAUUGAAGUGAAAUCACUAUGUAUUCUCUAAAUGUACGCAAAAUUGCAAAAAUAGAAGACUGUUGUUUCAUUAAAGAUUUGCAAUUUUGAGAAUCAGUACGCUAUUUACUUUAUGUUACGGUGGAUAACAAAUGGGUUGGUUCAGACACAAAGCCCUAAAUCAUUAAAUGUUAUUUUCUUCGUGGUGGUGUUACAUACUUAUUUUGGUAGUUUAAAAAAUCUAUAGUAUUGCAACAAUAAUUUUUUAAAAUAUUUUAAAAGAAGUUUCUUAAAUUUUUUAAAUUGUCAAUUCGAUUAAAGGAGAUUGACUAAAGGCAAACACUUUGAGUUUGCGACGAAUUUCAAGAAAUUGAUUGGAAGAAAUUGAUUUGGUGAAGGAAUGAACAAGUUGUAGGGACGUUGGAACAUGUCGAACCAGUAGUUGUUUGGCAAUGUCUUUUUCUCGAACAAAAUGAUAAUCAAGCUCCAUGUGUUUAGUUCUUGAGUGGAGAAUUGGAUUGUGAGAAAGAAGAAUAUAACUAAUAUUAUCAAAUAGAAGUGUAGGUGUUUUGAUGUUGACUUGCAACUCAUGAAGAAGCGAUUGAACUCAUAUUAGUUCAACCAAUGUGUGAGCCAUACUAUAGUACUCAGCCUCAGUGCUCGAUCGAGCAACCAUUUGUUGCUUCUUUGAUGACCAAGAUACUAAGUUAGGACCCCAAAAAAUGCACGAUCUAGAGGUAGAACGACGAUCAUCGGGAUCAUUAGCUCAAUCGACAUCACUAUAAGUAAUUAGAGAGUGAGGAACAUUGAGAUUACUACGAUGUAAUAGCAGACUCAUAUCAAAGGAUCCCUUGAUAUAAUGAAGUAUUCAUUUGACAGUCUUCCAAUGGUCGAGCCAUGAAUUGGCAAACCUUGUUGACAUUAAAUGCAAGUUCAGGACGAGUAAGGGUGACAUAUUGUAAUGCCCCCACAACUGAUCUAUACUUAGUAGGAUAAGUUAAGCUAUCAAUUCAAAACCUACUCAAUUUGCAGCCACUUAUCAUUGGAGAUGAAAUGUCAUUUGAGUCAUACAUAUUGACACCAGAUAAUAGAUCACAAAUAUAUUUUUCUUGGGACAUGAACAUAGAACCAUUGGACAAUGCUAAGAAAAUAGUCCAAACAAUCCAAUUGUUUAAGAGCAAACUUAUUGUUGAGUUUAGUGAUAAGGUCUAUAAUAAGAAUUAUGAAGAACCAUUUAUAAGAAUGUCAUCUACAUAAAUAAGAAUGUAGAGACAAACAACAUUGGUUUUGUAUAGAAGUAGAGAUGAAUCACAUUUACUCAAAUAGAAGCCAAACAGGAGAAGAAAAAAAGUGAGACAUUCAUACCAAGCACGGGGUGCUUGCUUUAGGCCAUAUAACCACUUAUGCAGAUUGCACACUAAUGACUGAUUGGGAUCCUAAAAAACAGAAGGUUGUUGCAUAAAGACCUCUUCUUGCAGAACACCAUUAGAAAAUGCGUUAUUUAUAUCAAUUUGUUGAAUUUUGCAUUUGUUAUGCAAAGCUAGAGUUAACAAAAUUUGAAUUGUGACAGGUUUGACAACAUAGGAGAAUGUUUUUAUUGAAGUCAAAUGCCAUUAUUUGAUGAAACUAAUAGAUCCAAAGCCCACCCUUGUGGAAUAGUGGAAGAUGUUUUGGUAAAAGUAGGGAAAUUUAUUUUUCCUGCAGAUUUUAUGGUGUUGGACAUGGAAGAGGAUGAUGAAGUUCCAAUGGUUUUUGAACAACCUUUCUUAGCCCCAAGAGAUGCCAUAAUUGAUAUGAAAAGAUAGUUGUAUUGCUGAUACUGAUGGGAACCCUCUGAUGGAAAUUGUUGUUCUACAUGAUUCUAAACAUGCUAAAAGAGCCCCCUUGAUCUUCAUAUUGGGGCAUUACCGCCAGACUCGAAACGUUAAACAACCAAUUUGCAGGAGACAACCUGUAUUUAUUUUAUUGGCUUAAUUGCAGUUUUGGUCCCCUUCUUUUAGCUGAAUCGCAAAAGUAGUCAUCCAUUUUGUUUUUCCCCAGUUUUGGUCCCUCAAACAGAAUUUUGGUCCAAAACUUGAUGAAAUUUUAUUUUUUAAAGCCUUACUACACCAUUUAUGAUAAUAGAUUUCAAGUACAAUUAUUGCACAUAAGAUCUUGAUGCAUGAUAUGACUUAAAUAAAUGCAAAAAAAAAUGAAAUUUCAUCAAGUUUUAGAUUAAAAUUAUGUUCGGGGGACCAAAACUGGGGAGAAACAAAAUGGAGGGACUACUUUCGCGAUUCAGCUAAAAUAAAGGGACCAAAACUGCAAUUAAGCCUAUUUUAUUCUAGUUUGAAUUUAUUAUUUUUGUUUUUAGGAAAUAAAAGCUCCAACGCAGGCUCUUUCAGGAAAAUUCACUUUUACUUUCUCUAAUUUAUUUAUUCAUUUAGUCUAUUUGACUAUUAUGCAUUUAGGACCAUCCUUUAUGCUAGUGUGGCGAGAGGAAAUAUAUUUUUGGCACUAGACCCGUUGUAGUACUUGUGAUGACACCUUUGUUGUCUUAUUUUACUUGAAUUAUGUGUAAGAAUGAAUGUUUUUUUUUGUUAA